rnacentral:rRNA from 1 species
AUUGAACGCUGGCGGCAGGCCUAACACAUGCAAGUCGAACGCGUGGCGGACGGGUGAGUAAUGUCUGGGCAACUGCCUGAUGGAGGGGGAUAACUACUGGAAACGGUAGCUACUACCGCAUACCAUCGGAUGUGCCCAGAUGGGAUUAGCUAGUUGGUGGGGUAAAGGCUCACCUAGGCGACGAUCCCUAGCUGGUCUGAGAGGAUGACGCGCCACACGGUAAAUGGUACACGGUCCAGAAUCCUACGGGAGGCAGCAGUGGGGAAUAUUGCACAAUGGGCGGAAGCCUGAUGCAGCCAUUCCGCGUGUAUGAAGAGGGCCUUCGGGUUGUAAAGUACUUUCAGCGGGGAGGCGUUACCCGCAGAAGAAGCACCGGCUAACUCCGUGCCAGCAGCCGCGGUAAUAC